rnacentral:lncRNA from 12 species
GUUAUUAUUUCAAAUAAUGGUGAAAGGAUCCUCUGCUCUUAGCACUUUCAUUUAUUUAAGAAAUAACGAAUAGUGAAUCCUGUGCCAAGGACGAAGCCUGACCCUGCUGGAGGGGGUGGCAAGAGUACUAGGACAUAGAGAGUCCAGGUCGUGACAACUGACUCCUGGUCUGAGGAAGACGCUGGGCAUGUAAUAAUAGUAACCACGGCAAUAGGAAUAGAAGGCAGUGACCCCCGGAGCGGAAGGAAAGACCUGAGUAAGAAAGUUCCUGACUGGUAGGCAGCUGUGGGGGGGUUGACACGAGGCUGGGAGAUGGGACAAGUCUGCUCAGACUAGGAAUGAAGCCUGAUAAUUUGAACGUGACUUAUAAGAACUUUGCCAAGAAUCAUGAGAGUAAAUGAAGCAGGCUAGCGGGACAGGCCUCAUUCCCAAAGCCAAAUGGAAGCUGGAGCAGCCAGCUCGACCCUUGCUGAAAUGGCGCAAAUGAAAAGACUGAGAAAUAAAUGGCAGGCACGAAAUACCCGCACUGGGCCACAUC